AGAGUUUGAUCAUGGCUCAGGAUGAACGCUAGCUACAGGCUUAACACAUGCAAGUCGAGGGGCAUCAGUUUGGUUUGCUUGCAAACCAAAGCUGGCGACCGGCGCACGGGUGAGUAACACGUAUCCAACCUGCCUCAUACUCGGGGAUAGCCUUUCGAAAGAAAGAUUAAUAUCCGAUAGCGUAUAUUUCCCGCAUGGGUUUUAUAUUAAAGAAUUCGGUAUGAGAUGGGGAUGCGUUCCAUUAGUUUGUUGGCGGGUAACGGCCACCAAGACUACGAUGGAUAGGGGUUCUGAGAGGAAGGUCCCCCACAUUGGAACUGAGACACGGUCCAAACUCCUACGGGAGGCA
rnacentral:rRNA from 1 species